AGUAAUGCUUGGGAAUCUAGCUUAUGGAGGGGGAUAACUACGGGAAACUGUAGCUAAUACCGCGUAGAAUCGAGAGAUGAAAGUGUGGGGCCUUCGGGCCACAUGCCAUAGGAUGAGCCCAAGUGGGAUUAGGUAGUUGGUGAGGUAAAGGCUCACCAAGCCGACGAUCUCUAGCUGGUCUGAGAGGAUGACCAGCCACACUGGGACUGAGACACGGCCCAG
rnacentral:rRNA from 1 species